AUGGUGGAAGCAAUGUUGGUGGUGAAGACGAAUUAGAAGGUAAGGGAUCUGGACUUGGCUUGGGAGGUGGGAGAGUUUCCUCUGGUGGAGAAGGAGGUGAAGGAUGCACAGGACGUUUUGAGUCACUUGGAGAAGGAGGUGAUGGAGUAGGACGUUUAGAACCCGGUGGAGGAGGUUGCUCACGACGUUUUGGAUGCCCUGGAGGAGGAGGAGAAGGAUGUUCUGAAUCUGAUGGAGGAGUUGAAGGACGUUCUGAGGCUGGUGGGGAAGGUAAAUGACGUGGAGGAGGAGGAAUUUCUGAGGCUGGCGGGGAAGGUAAAUGACGUGGAGGUGAAUGUGAUGGUGGGACUAACUUAGGUGGUGGAAGUGGAUUGCUUGGAGGGUCUGGUGCAGGUAGUGAAGGAGGGCUUUCCGGUGGUGGUGGUGGAUUUGUUGGCGGGCUGGGUGAUGUAAUAGGAGUAGUAGGAGGAGCUUCAGUUGGUGGAGGUGGCGGGGGAGAAGAUUCUGGUGGAGGUGAUGAUACUGGAUUCGCUGGAGGAGGAGCUUCAGUUGGUAAAGGUGGUGGGGGAGAAGGUUCUGGUGGAGGAGAUACUGGAAUCGUCGUCGGAGGAGGUCCAGUUAGUGAAGGUGAUGGGGGAGAAG
rnacentral:lncRNA from 1 species